UAGGGAAUCUUCCGCAAUGGACGCAAGUCUGACGGAGCAACGCCGCGUGAGUGAAGAAGGAUUUCGGUUCGUAAAACUCUGUUGUUAGAGAAGAACAGCGCAAAGAGUAACUGUUAUGCGUGUGACGGUAUCUAACCAGAAAGCCACGGCUAACUACGUGCCAGCAGCCGCGGUAAUACGUAGGUGGCAAGCGUUGUCCGGAUUUAUUGGGCGUAAAGCGAGCGCAGGCGGUCAAUUAAGUCUGAUGUGAAAGCCCCCGGCUCAACCGGGGAGGGUCAUUGGAAACUGGUUGACUUGAGUGCAGAAGAGGAGAGUGGAAUUCCAUGUGUAGCGGUGAAAUGCGUAGAUAUAUGGAGGAACACCAGUGGCGAAGGCGACUCUCUGGUCUGUAACUGACGCUGAGGUUCGAAAGCGUGGGUAGCAAACAGG
rnacentral:rRNA from 1 species